GACGAACGCUGGCGGCGUGCUUAACACAUGCAAGUCGAGCGGAAAGGCCCUUCGUGGUUCUCGAGCGGCGAACGGGUGCGUCAUACGUGCAUAACCCGAACCAGACUUUGGCUUCAGCCUCAGAUCCGGGGGCUAAUACUGCAUACUCCUUCUACCUCCCCCUGCUUGGUUGGGGAAGUUUCUCUGUGUGGGUUGGACUCGGGGCCUAUCUGCUUGUUGGUGUGGUUGUGGCCUACCAAGGCCGGGACGGGUAGCCGUCAUGAGAGGGCGACAGGCCACACUGGGACUGAGACACGGCCCAGACUCCUACGGGAGGCAGCAGUGGGGAAUAUUGCACAAUGGGCGGAAGCCUGAUGCAGCGACGCCGCGUGAGGGAUGACGGCCUUCGGGUUGUAAGCCUCUUUCAGCAGUGACGAAGCGUAAGUGACGGUACCUGCAGAAGAAGCGCCGGCCAACUACGUG
rnacentral:rRNA from 1 species